AUUGAACGCUGGCGGCAGGCUUAACACAUGCAAGUCGAGCGAGCGGCGGACGGGUGAGUAAUGUCUGGGAAACUGCCUGAUGGAGGGGGAUAACUACUGGAAACGGUAGCUAAUACCGCAUACCAUCCUUUCUCCCCAGUUGGGCUUAGCUAGUCGGUGGGGUAAUGGCGCACCUAGGCGACGAUCCCUAGCUGGUCUGAGAGGCUGACCGGCCACACUGGAACUGAGACACGGUCCAGACUCCUACGGGAGGCAGCAGUGGGGAAUAUUGCACAAUGGGCGAAAGCCUGAUGCAGCCAUGCCGCGUGUGUGAAGAAGGCCUUCGGGUUGUAAAGCACUGUCAGCGAGGAGGCGUUACUCGCAGAAGAAGCACCGGCUAACUCCGUGCCAGCAGCCGCGGUAAUAC
rnacentral:rRNA from 1 species